UAAAAUGUUUCUAUCCACCGUUCUUUCUUAUUGCUUGUUCUCUCUCUUGACAUUCUCAGUCGCACCAAGCAUGUCCAGUUCCAGGAAUACUCUUUUCUCUGUAAGAGGAGGAGAUAUGUUUUACUUUCACAUUCCAACCACCCCCACAUAACCAACAGGCUUAAGUUCAGUUCCAGUCCAAAGUUCCAAAGGUUCCAGUCUUCUUUAUGAGUGGAUAUAGAACACAAAUACAUUAAAGGCUGAUGUCAAGACUGAAGACAGGCAACACCAUCGACAAAGCCCACAUGAAGAUUAAAGACAGAAGGGAUGGUUCCAUUAUUAUGGUUUAAAACUGCAGCGUUGUGGACCUUUCAGUGAGAUGGUGAGGAAUGGAGAACCAUGGAAGACUUGAUAUGCAUAAUUUGUCUAACAAUCAGUUUGAUUCUUCUAAACAUCAAGUCCUCUGCUACAUGUGGUCCAGCUGAAUAUAUAAUAGGUGGUGAAUGUUGUCCGAUGUGUUCACCAGGAAACCAUGUAUACAGACAUUGUACAGAAUAUACAAGUACUUCCUGUGUUCCCUGUAUUGGCUCCACCUACCUUGAAGAACCCAAUGGUCUUACUAAAUGUAUACCAUGUAGACACUGUGACCCAGUCUUUGGUUUGAUGGUAAAACAUCCAUGUAGACCUUCAUCAGACACUGUCUGUGAGCCACUGGAGGGGUUCUACUGUACAGACCCAACUAAGGAUGGUUGUAAUGCAGCCCAGAGACACAGCAGCUGUGAACCUGGUCAAUACAUCAGACAGAAAGGAACUCCAUCUACAGACACUGUGUGUACUAACUGUACUGGUGACACCUAUUCAGAUGGAUCAUUUACAUCCUGUCAACCACACACACAAUGUGACACUUUGAAUCUUCAAGAAAUUAAACCUGGAACUUUUAGGUCCAACCCCGAAUGUGGACCAAAGACCUCAUCUCUUAUACCUGUAACUGUAUCUACAGUUUUGGUGUUCAUUUUUUUAAUAACUGGGACUAUCAUAUUAAUUUUAGUAAGGAAAAACCUUAAAAGCAGGCACAGGAGGGUUGUAAAUAAACAGGCAGAUGAACAAACCCCUACCAAGGAUUCACAUUUGAUAGAAAGUAAUAAUAAAAAGGAGUUUUUAAUGCACUGCACCUGGACGUAGGUAGGAUAAAGAAUCUUGAAGUUACUGCCUUUGAAACAAACAUCUACAGAUGAUCUGACAACAUCACCACGGACAUCCACUUGUGAAUUUAGUGAUGGCUAAAGACAUCUACCAAAUGAUUCCACAGUAUCACCAUGGAUGUAAUGGAACUUGUGAAUCUAGUGACAAUAUCUGUUCUUUUUUACACAAAAAACAUACAGACUCUCAUAAUGAGACGUCCAGGACACCAGUAUGGAAGAAAUGGACUCCACUAGUUGUAACCAUGGAUUUAUAUGAUUCCAUUACAGACUGAACCACAAGGGACAGUGAUGACCAGUUACCCAUGAUGCAUCACAAUGGAACACAUUUGAUACAAAUCAUGACUUGUAGUAAUCCUCAAACAUAGUACAAUAUAUAAAUAUUUUGUACAUUUGUAUUUUUUUACAUCCUGAUGAAUUGUAUUGCACUUAAAUGUUUUUAUGAUGGCUGAUUUUAUAAUCUAUUUUUAAUUGAGUUGUUUCUAUGAGCUGUAAUUCAUUUACAUGAGUAUAACAGGCAGGUCUCCAAGUACAACAUUCCUCUAUAAACAAUUCUGGAGACAAUAAAUGGAUGAAGGAGAGCUUUUCUGCAUCAGAAGAGGUGAUCAGGUUCUAUCUGAUCCCUAUAACAUGUUAUGCAACAAUUGUAAUCUACUUUUGUAUUUUCAUUAAAGAAAUCAUUAACCAAAUAAAUGUAUGUUCUAACUAUGAGUGUGUGAGUAUUCUAGUUAAGUACAGUUGUGUCCAACACAUUCAGACUAAAUUCAAACUGACUCUGAUGACCUGACAAUAAGACCACUGACUGACACUAGUGUGGAACCAGGUGGUGUUUUAUACAUUAAUAGGAUUGGCUUCAUCUUUGUAGAAUAGGAUUAGUACCUGUCCUUUUGUGUGAGUAAUGCAUCUAGUGAUGUCAGUGCCACAGGAAAGAGGAACGGGAAAAGUAAUAUUGGUA